UAUCAAUGACAAGUUAGAGAACAAUGAAGAAGGGGUGCCCACUGGACUUGUUAAAAGGUUGGUAUUACCAGAUUUAGAUGAUGGUGUCGUACCAGUGGGCUUAAAGCUUAGAGGAGGUUUGACAAUUUCAAGCUUUGGCCUCAUACACUGCCUUCUCUCGUGGAGCUUAGAAGUCGGGCGCUUUUGUAUGGCGGUUUUUAUAACUGUUGCUUCUGGUACUGCUGUAGCAUUGCUCUCUGAUGGACCUGUCAAGCGCUGCACGAUUUCUCUGAAAGUGUUGGUGUCAGUUUGGACAAAUGUAGUGACGGGCUUGCAAGUUGCAACAUUCUGACUUCCUUGGUUAUUCAUAUGAAUCACAGGAAAUAUUUAAAAUAAAAAAGACAGACACAUACCUGAAGAGCAAGCCGAGGAAGCAAGUGAAGGCGAAUGUGAAUGUGAAUGCUGGUUUCUGAAGCCAAAUCAAGAAUUAGGAACUUAAAACAGAAGAAGAGAACAAGGGAGAGAGAGAGAGAACUAAAAGGAGAUAUAAAGACUGUUGUUGGUCUAAUGGUCACAGCUCAGAACUUGUUCAUGUACCAGAAAAGAGAAGAAAAUGAAGAAGAGGAAAAAAAGGAGCAGAAUAUGGAGGAAAGAGGAAAAAAAGACUCUUUUAUCCCUUUAUUCUUAACCGUUUUCGGGAAUGGAGAAAGGAAGUUAAAGAAGGAAGAAAUGCAUGCCGUUUCGGUUAAGGAGAUAGGGAGAGAGAGACGUCACAGCAACCUCUCCACCCCAAUAUAUAAACCAAACAACGGUUUUUGUUUUUUCGUUUUUGUUAUGUUUUUUUUUUAUGGGCUUUAUGGGCUGUGUCUCUGUGGAAUCUGAUGAGAUAUUUAACUGAACUCAUAACAGUUCCUCAACUGCCUUAACUGACUCUGUUCUUCCUCUGUGGAUAUUUGGUUGACUCCUUUCAAGG